rnacentral:misc_RNA from 1 species
GAUGAAGAACGUAGCGAAAUGCGAUAAGUAAUGCGAAUUGCAGAAUUUCCGUGAGUCAUCGAAUCUUUGAACGCACAUUGCGCCCAUUGGUAUUCCGAUGGGCAUGCCUGUUCGAGCGUCAUUUCACCACUCAAGCCUCGCUUGGUAUUGGGCAACGCGGUCCGCCGCGUGCCUCAAAUCGACCGGCUGGGUCUUCUGUCCCCUAAGCGUUGUGGAAACUAUUCGCUAAAGGGUGUUCGGGAGGCUACGCCGUAAAACAACCCCAUUUCUAAGGUUGACCUCGGAUCAGGUAGGGAUACCCGCUGAACUUAAGCAUAUCAAUAAGCGGAGGA